rnacentral:rRNA from 1 species
CAGCACCUCAAGUGGUCAGGAUGAUUAUUGGGCCUAAAGCAUCCGUAGCCGGCUCAGUAAGUUUUCGGUUAAAUCUGUACGCUUAACGUACAGGCUGCCGGGAAUACUGCAGAGCUAGGGAGUGGGAGAGGUAGACGGUACUGGGUAGGAAGGGGUAAAAUCCUUUGAUCUAUUGAUGACCACCUGUGGCGAAGGCGGUCUACCAGAACACGUCCGACGGUGAGGGAUGAAAGCUGGGGGAGCAAACCGGAUUAGAUACCCGAGUAGUCC